rnacentral:rRNA from 1 species
CGAACGGCAGCACGGGGGCAACCCUGGGUGGCGAGUGGCGAACGGGUGAGUAAUGCAUCGGAACGUGUCCUUAAGUGGGGGAUAACGCACCGAAAGGUGUGCUAAUACCGCAUAAUCUCUACGGAGAAAAGCAGGGGAUCGCAAGACCUUGCGCUUUUGGAGCGGCCGAUGUCUGAUUAGCUAGUUGGUGAGGUAAAGGCUUACCAAGGCGUCGAUCAGUAGCUGGUCUGAGAGGACGACCAGCCACACUGGGACUGAGACACGGCCCAGACUCCUACGGGAGGCAGCAGUGGGGAAUUUUGGACAAUGGGGGAAACCCUGAUCCAGCCAUGCCGCGUGAGUGAAGAAGGCCUUCGGGUUGUAAAGCUCUUU